AUUUCCGGGUCAGGUGUCUGUCUGUGCAGAGCAGCGACCGAGUGCUCCGUGUGGCGUGCUCCAUUUUUAUUUCCUGGUUCUCUUGAGCGGUGGAGAGACUCUCAGUCCUGCAGAGGACACAGAGACACU